UACGGAGGGAGCUAGCGUUGUUCGGAAUUACUGGGAGUAAAGCGUACGUAGGCGGCUUUGUAAGUUAGAGGUGAAAGACCGGUGCUCAACACCGGAACUGCCUUUAAGACUGCAUCGCUAGAAUCCAGGAGAGGUGAGUGGAAUUCCGAGUGUAGAGGUGAAAUUCGUAGAUAUUAGGAAGAACACCAGUGGCGAAGGCGGCUCACUGGACUGGUAUUGACGCUGAGGUACGAAAGCGUGGGGAGCAAACAGG
rnacentral:rRNA from 1 species